CUUUUCGUAGAUGAUCUGAUUAUCUUCAGCAGGGCAAAUAAGUUUGAGGCUCAACCGCAGUUGGUUGAAAAGGGCAGAGUUCCAUUUGGUGGGUGGGUCUAGGGCGAAUAGGUAAGGUGGUUAGGCAACAGGUUCUUUGUCUGUUUGGUUGGUCAAACAUGCAUUAGUUCAUAGAUCUUUGGACUUAAAAUGACAAAGAGUCAGAUGGGAAUACCAGAAAAACUAUAGAAGAGGUAUCUCGAUUGAAAUACCUACAAAUGGUAUUUUCCGAAGAAAUAGUAUUUUUGCUUGUCGUUAACGAACAGAAAGAAAAAAGUCCAAAUACAGACGCUAAGAAUUCCUCAAGGAAGCUCUCUAUCACCCGUACUCAUGAAUGUCUUCUUACACC
rnacentral:lncRNA from 1 species